GGACCAGAGUGUUUGAAAAGCAACUGGGACAGAGGCUUCUUUCUUCGGAGGGCAGACAAAGCAGUGGAAAACAUUAGUGGCACCUGAUGGGGUGGACCUGAUGAGCUGAGCCGUUUUUCACAAAAAGAUUUGAUGCUGGGAAAAGGUAGAAUUAUACAGGGGACACAUGGAGGUUAAGCAAAAAGAGAAUCAGAACAACAGUGUUAGCCUCUCACAAUUCAGAGAAUUCUCCAUCUGGAUUCUGGCAGAAGACAUCCAUUAAUGUUUCGAAGUUAAUGAAAAAACAAAUGUGCAUGAUCUCUCUGAAGCAUGUAUGAAGAAAACUAAAUAGGACAAUCAUGAUUAAAUAGAAAAGAAUUGGUUAUAUGAAGACUAGUACAGAAAGAUUUAGUUUGA